rnacentral:tRNA from 1 species
GCCGGCAUAGCUCACCAGGUGAGAGCGCCAGUUUGAAACACUGGAGGGCAGGGUUCAAUUCCCGUGACGGCACCA